rnacentral:rRNA from 1 species
UACAGAGGGUGCGAGCGUUAAUCGGAAUUACUGGGCGUAAAGCGUGCGUAGACGGUAGCGUAAGUCAGAUGUGAAAGCCCCGGGCUCAACCUGGGAACUGCAUUUGAGACUGCUCUGCUCGGGUGCGGAAGAGGGAAGCGGAAUUUCCGGUGUAGCGGUGAAAUGCGUAGAUAUCGGAAGGAACACCAGUGGCGAAAGCGGCUUCCUGGUCCGACACCGACGUUCAGGCACGAAAGCGUGGGAGCAAACAGG